UGAUUGUCCGAAUGCAAUUCUUGUGGAAUUUUGUAAGGACCGAGGAUUGUGGUCGGACAUUAAC
rnacentral:pre_miRNA from 1 species